CGCGGGGUGGAGCAGUCUGGUAGCUCGUUGGGCUCAUAACCCAAAGGUCGUAGGUUCAAAUCCUACCCCCGCUACUA
rnacentral:tRNA from 2 species